AGUGCAAUUGCUGGAUUGUAUGGUAAGGGUGUAUUUGAUUUUGUAAAAAACUUCCAAACUAUCUUCCAAAGUGGCUGCACCAUUUGCAUGCCCACCAGCAAU
rnacentral:pre_miRNA from 1 species